UAUCAAUAAACGGAGGAAAAGAAACUAACAAGGAUUCCCCUAGUAACGGCGAGUGAAGAGGGAAGAGCCCAAGAUUGAAAGCUGGCGUCUUCGGCGUCCGCAUUGUAAUCUCAAGAAGUGUUUUCCGCUUCGGACCAAGCCUAAGUCCCUUGGAAAAGGGCAUCAUAGAGGGUGAUAAUCCCGUACAUGGCUUGGAGCGCCCGAGGCUUUGUGAUACGCUUUCUAAGAGUCGAGUUGUUUGGGAAUGCAGCUCAAAAUGGGUGGUAAAUGCCAUCUAAGGCUAAAUAUUGGGGAGAGACCGAUAGCGAACAAGUACAGUGAUGGAAAGAUGAAAAGAACUUUGAAAAGAGAGUUAAACAGUACGUGAAAUUGCCAAAAGGGAAGGGUAGGAGGUCAGAGAUGCGGUCUGGGAUUCAGCCUUGCUUUUGCUUGGUGUUUUUCCCAGAUGGCAGGCCAACGCCGGUUUUGGGCACUGGAGAAGGGUAGGAGGAACGUGGCACCUCUCGGGGUGUGUUAUAGCCUCCUACUGGAUACAGCGACCGAGACCGAGGAACGCAGCGUACUCGCAAGAGCGGGCCCUCGGGCACCUUUACGCUUAGGGCGUUGGCAUAAUGGCCCUCUACCACCCGUCUUG
rnacentral:rRNA from 1 species